AUUGAACGCUGGCGGCAGGCCUAACACAUGCAAGUCGAGCGGUAGAGAGAAGCUUGCUUCUCUUGAGAGCGGCGGACGGGAGAGAAAUGCCUAGGAAUCUGCCUGAUAGUGGGGGAUAACGUCCGGAAACGGACGCUAAUACCGCAUACGUCCUACGGGAGAAAGUGGGGGCUCUUCGGACCUCACGCCAUCAGAUGAGCCUAGGUCGGAUUAGCUAGUUGGUGGGGUAAAGGCUCACCAAGGCGACGAUCCGUAACUGGUCUGAGAGGAUGAUCAGUCACACUGGAACUGAGACACGGUCCAGACUCCUACGGGAGGCAGCAGUGGGGAAUAUUGGACAAUGGGCGAAAGCCUGAUCCAGCCAUGCCGCGUGUGUGAAGAAGGUCUUCGGAUUGUAAAGCACUUUAAGUUGGGAGGAAGGGUCGUUACCUAAUACGUGGCGAUUUUGACGUUACCGACAGAAUAAGCACCGGCUAACUCUGUGCCAGCCGCCGCUGUAAGAC
rnacentral:rRNA from 1 species